AGGACGAACGCUGGCGGCGUGCUUAACACAUGCAAGUCGAACGGAAAGGCCCUUCGGGGUACUCGAGUGGCGAACGGGUGAGUAACACGUGGGUGAUCUGCCCUGCACUUCGGGAUAAGCCUGGGAAACUGGGUCUAAUACCGGAUAUACCUCAUGGACUGCAUGGUCGGUGGGGGAAAGCUUUUGCGGUGUGGGAUGAGCCCGCGGCCUAUCAGCUUGUUGGUGGGGUGAUGGCCUACCAAGGCGUCGACGGGUA
rnacentral:rRNA from 1 species